CAAGAGGUAAAUUUAUAGAAUCAAAAGUUAAAAAUCAACUCUCCGAAUGCAAUGCAUGUGUAUGACUAAGUUUGUGACUGGUCUCUUUUCGGUGGGAAUGUUCUAUCACCUCUACAAUCAGCUGAAAGUUAAAAGACAUGGGUGAUGGUCAGGGAACCAAGUCUGCCAAUGCCAACAAAGGGAACGCAGCUACCAACCUUAGAACUUUUGAUCACCAUCUCCCUGCCCCACCACCAGCUGUUUCUGCAAUCCGAUGCUCAGCGCUCGACAUCAACGCUUGAUAAUGAAAACUUUUGUUGUGUUUCUUGAAUUUUGUCAUUUUUUAAACCUUUUCCUUUGGGUAUUUUUUUAAACAGAGGAAGAAUCAAUCUAAUUAUGUAAUAAUUAUUUCAUAUGCCUGUGUUUCUUCGUUUUAUGGUGCUUAAAUGAUUCUUUUUGAUUUCAU